rnacentral:rRNA from 1 species
UCAAGCUACAAAGAGCGUAAGGGGAAUGCCUUGGCACCAGGAGCCGACGAAGGACGCAGCGAUCUGCGAAAAGCCACGGGGAGCCGAAAGCAGGCUUUGAUCCGUGGAUAUCCGAAUGGGGAAACCCGCAUGGUUAAUAGCCAUGCGACGUAUACUGAAUAAAUAAGUAUGCGUCGGGAACCGUCUGAACUGAAACAUCUAAGUAGGACGAGGAAAAGAAAUCAACCGAGAUUCCGUAAGUAGUGGCGAGCGAACACGGAAGAGGCCAAACCGAAGGUAGCAAUAUCUUCGGGGUACGGACAGUAAACGGCAUUGCGGUAUCUUAGCAGAAGUGCAUGGGACGGCACACCAUAGAGAGUGAUAGUCUCGUAAGCGAAAAGAGAAGGCAGCCAACUGUAUCCAGAGUACCGCCGGACACGUGAAACCCGGUGGGAACAUGGGGGGACCAUCCUCCAAGCCUAAAUACUCCCUGGUGACCGAUAGAGAACAGUACUGUGAAGGAAAGGUGAAAAGAACCCCGGGAGGGGAGUGAAAUAGAAUCUGAAACCGCAUACAUACAAACAGUAGGAGCCCUUUGGGGUGACUGCGUACCUUUUGCAUAAUGGGUCAGCGACUUACGUUCAGUAGCGAGCUUAACCGAGUAGGGGAGGCGUAGCGAAAGCGAGUUCGAAUAGAGCGAGUAGUUGCUGGGCGUAGACCCGAAACCGGAUGAUCUAUCCAUGACCAGGUUGAAGUUGUGGUAACACACAAUGGAGGACCGAACCGACUAGUGUUGCAAAAUUAGCGGAUGAGUUGUGGAUAGGGGUGAAAGGCUAAACAAAUCCGGAGAUAGCUGGUUCUCCCCGAAAACUAUUGAGGUAGUGCCUCGCGUAUCACUCCAGGGGGUAGAGCACUGUUAUGGCUAGGGGGACAUGGCGUCUUACCAAACCAUGGCAAACUCCGAAUACUUGGAAGUGUGAGCGCGGGAGACAGAGCACCGGGUGCUAACGUCCGGACUCAAAAGGGAAACAACCCAGACCGCCGGCUAAGGUCCCUAAUAUUUGCUAAGUGGAAAACGAAGUGGAAAGGCUAAGACAGUCAGGAAGUUGGCUUAGAAGCAGCCAUCCUUUAAAGAAAGCGUAAUAGCUCACUGAUCGAGUCUUUCUGCGCGGAAGAUGUAACGGGGCUAAGCAAGUAACCGAAGCCGCGGAUUCAUACGUAAGUAUGAGUGGUAGGGGAGCGUUCUGUAAGCCUGCGAAGGUGUGUUGAGAAGCAUGCUGGAGGUAUCAGAAGUGCGAAUGCUGACAUGAGUAACGUUAAAGCGGGUGAAAAGCCCGCUCGCCGUAAGCCCAAGGUUUCCUGCUCUGCGUUCAUCGGAGCAGGGUGAGUCGGCCCCUAAGGCCAGGCUGAGAAGCGUAGUCGAUGGGAACAAGGUUAAUAUUCCUAGACCAUUGUCAAGUAUGCGAUGGGGGGACGGAGUGCGAAAGAUGAUCCGGGUGUUGGACAUCCCGGUUUGUGAGAGUAGAAGGAGAGUAGGCAAAUCCGCUCUCGAAUCUUCGAGUCAAAACAUCGAUUCUCCACGUGAGAAGAAGUCAUCGGAAGUGCUUCCAAGAAAAGCCUCUAAGUGGUAGCUUGACAAGACCGUACCGCAAACCGACACUGGUGGGCGAGUUGAAUAUACUAAGGCGCUUGAGAGAACUCGGGAGAAGGAACUCGGCAAAUUGACACCGUAACUUCGGAAGAAGGUGUGCCUUUGUAGCGUGAGAGAAGAAACAUCUUAAGCGUGAAGAGGCCUCAGAGAAUAGGUGGCUGCAACUGUUUACUAAAAACAUAGCACUCUGCAAAGAUGAAAGUCGACGUAUAGGGUGUGAUGCCUGCCCGGUGCUGGAAGAUUAAUUGAUGGGGUGCAAGCUCCUGAUCGAAGUCCCAGUAAACGGCGGCCGUAACUAUAACGGUCCUAAGGUAGCGAAAUUCCUUGUC